AUUGAACGCUGGCGGCAUGCUUUACACAUGCAAGUCGAACGGUAACAGGGAGCUUGCUCCGCUGACGAGUGGCGAACGGGUGAGUAAUAUAUCGGAACGUACCCAAGAGUGGGGGAUAACGUAGCGAAAGUUACGCUAAUACCGCAUACGAUCCAAGGAUGAAAGCAGGGGACCGCAAGGCCUUGCGCUCCUGGAGCGGCCGAUAUCUGAUUAGCUAGUUGGUAGGGUAAAGGCCUACCAAGGCAUCGAUCGGUAGCUGGUCUGAGAGGACGACCAGCCACACUGGAACUGAGACACGGUCCAGACUCCUACGAGAGGCAGCAGUGGGGAAUUUUGGACAAUGGGCGCAAGCCUGAUCCAGCAAUGCCGCGUGAGUGAAGAAGGCCUUCGGGUUGUAAAGCUCUUUUGUCAGGGAAGAAACGGGUGAGGCUAAUAUCCUCAUCUAAUGACGGUACCUGAAGAAUAAGCACCGGCUAACUACGUGCCAGCAGCCGCGGUAAGAC
rnacentral:rRNA from 1 species